CUACGCCCCGGAAAUGCAAAAUUUGGCUGUUUAUAUUGCUGUUUCAAUGAGCAAAUUCUUCACUUUGCAGGAAAGUCAGCAGACAGGCGUGUUCCUUACAACACUCGGAGACUAAGGCACAUCCAUGAAGAGACAUCUUCUGUAUCAGGAACCAGUCUGUACCCACUGAAACUCUCUCCUCCACAGGGAACUGCUGUGCUUACAAGGCUGGUUCUAACAACAAAAAAAAAAAGAGUAACCACUGGAAGAAAAGGAGAAAGAAGUCAGAUCAUCAGGCACGCAGUGUUGCUGGUGCAAUAGACCUGGAAGAUGUGACUGUGUUGCAGUACCAUGAGGAGAGAUCCUUUCCUGCGGUCUCGUGUAAAACCAACUUUCCACAGCCUCUGUACAGUUUAAAACAGCACAGCCUCUCCUGGACAGACAAUACCAAUCUGAUAAGGGUUUUGUGAGAGUUAGUGAGUCAAUACACAUGACAUACUGUUUCAGUGGAGUGUGCUGCUCACAUACGAGUGAACUGCGGAGACCCACAAUAGUUCUGCUUUUCUCUGCAAGAACUGCCUGUAAUUUCAGGUCAUCCACACAGAGAAAGGAUCUAGCCUGAACUGCUGUUAGAGGAGUCUUGGCCGUUGCUUCCCCUUGCAUGGAAGCCUCCAGUGCCAAGUUCCCCAGUCUGCCCCUCUAUAUGUGAGAGCAGAGCUGAAGGGAAGGACCCACACCUGGGAUGAGUCACUGAGGUAAAUGGUGGUGGUUUUUAAUGGCAAAGUCUUUCUCCAGCAUUGCCUCAGAUAUAACAUGGUUUAUUCAUAACCAGUGUCCCAGGCAGCAACUGCACUUCUGUCUUUGCUGUCUGGGAGAGAAGCAGCAGAUCAGAUGUGAAUAGCUUAGACUAACAAUAAUUUGGGGGGAUCGGGGGGGACUCUUUCACUUCUCCAUUCUGCUUCAUCUGUUUAGCCUUUCAGAGCAGGUGCUGCCUCCUCUUCCUGCAGAAUCACCUUCAGCUGCCUGUGCUUCUCUGAGGUUUACUGGUGCUGGUGAAAGGACACAUGACAGAGAACUGAGUCAGAUAUCAGGUUCAGCACUGACAUUGUUUGACCUUGGCUUGUGUGAGGUCCCUUAGCCUUUUGGAGGAAAAUCUCCAUGAUGCAGUGAGAGGA
rnacentral:lncRNA from 1 species